rnacentral:rRNA from 1 species
AGAGUUUGAUCAUGGCUCAGGAUGAACGCUAGCGACAGGCUUAACACAUGCAAGUCGAGGGGCAGCACAGGUAGCAAUACCGGGUGGCGACCGGCGCACGGGUGAGUAACGCGUAUGCAACUUGCCUAUCAGAGGGGGAUAACCCGGCGAAAGUCGGACUAAUACCGCAUGAAGCAGGGAUCCCGCAUGGGAAUAUUUGCUAAAGAUUCAUCGCUGAUAGAUAGGCAUGCGUUCCAUUAGGCAGUUGGCGGGGUAACGGCCCACCAAACCGACGAUGGAUAGGGGUUCUGAGAGGAAGGUCCCCCACAUUGGUACUGAGACACGGACCAAACUCCUACGGGAGGCAGCAGUGAGGAAUAUUGGUCAAUGGCCGAGAGGCUGAACCAGCCAAGUCGCGUGAGGGAUGAAGGUUCUAUGGAUCGUAAACCUCUUUUAUAAGGGAAUAAAGUGCGGGACGUGUCCCGUUUUGUAUGUACCUUAUGAAUAAGGAUCGGCUAACUCCGUGCCAGCAGCCGCGGUAAUACGGAGGAUCCGAGCGUUAUCCGGAUUUAUUGGGUUUAAAGGGUGCGUAGGCGGCCUUUUAAGUCAGCGGUGAAAGUCUGUGGCUCAACCAUAGAAUUGCCGUUGAAACUGGGGGGCUUGAGUAUGUUUGAGGCAGGCGGAAUGCGUGGUGUAGCGGUGAAAUGCAUAGAUAUCACGCAGAACCCCGAUUGCGAAGGCAGCCUGCCAAGCCAUUACUGACGCUGAUGCACGAAAGCGUGGGGAUCAAACAGGAUUAGAUACCCUGGUAGUCCACGCAGUAAACGAUGAUCACUAGCUGUUUGCGAUACACUGUAAGCGGCACAGCGAAAGCGUUAAGUGAUCCACCUGGGGAGUACGCCGGCAACGGUGAAACUCAAAGGAAUUGACGGGGGCCCGCACAAGCGGAGGAACAUGUGGUUUAAUUCGAUGAUACGCGAGGAACCUUACCCGGGUUUGAACGCAUUCGGACCGAGGUGGAAACACCUUUUCUAGCAAUAGCCGUUUGCGAGGUGCUGCAUGGUUGUCGUCAGCUCGUGCCGUGAGGUGUCGGCUUAAGUGCCAUAACGAGCGCAACCCUUGCCACUAGUUACUAACAGGUAAAGCUGAGGACUCUGGUGGGACUGCCAGCGUAAGCUGCGAGGAAGGCGGGGAUGACGUCAAAUCAGCACGGCCCUUACAUCCGGGGCGACACACGUGUUACAAUGGCGUGGACAAAGGGAAGCCACCUGGCGACAGGGAGCGAAUCCCCAAACCACGUCUCAGUUCGGAUCGGAGUCUGCAACCCGACUCCGUGAAGCUGGAUUCGCUAGUAAUCGCGCAUCAGCCAUGGCGCGGUGAAUACGUUCCCGGGCCUUGUACACACCGCCCGUCAAGCCAUGGGAGCCGGGGGUACCUGAAGUCCGUAACCGCGAGGAUCGGCCUAGGGUAAAACUGGUGACUGGGGCUAAGUCGUAACAAGGUA